rnacentral:rRNA from 1 species
UACAGAGGCCCCAAGCAUUAUCCGGAAUCACUGGGCGUAAAGGGUGUGUAGGCGGUUGUGUUAGUCGUUUGUGAAAGAUCUCGGGCUUAACCCGGGAGACGCAUGCGAAACGGCACGACUCGAGGAUAUGAGAGGUAAAGGGAACUCAUGGUGUAGGGGUGAAAUCCGUUGAUAUCAUGGGGAACACCAAAUGCGAAGGCACUUUACUGGCAUACUCCUGACGCUGAAACACGAAAGCGUGGGAA